rnacentral:rRNA from 1 species
GGACCCGCACAAGUAGUGGAGCAUGUGGUUUAAUUCGAAGAUACGCGCAGAACCUUACCAACACUUGACAUGUUCGUCGCGACUCUAAGAGAUUAGAGUUUUCGGUUCGGCCGGACGAAACACAGGUGCUGCAUGGCUGUCGUCAGCUCGUGUCGUGAGAUGUUGGGUUAAGUCCCGCAACGAGCGCAACCCUCACUUUUAGUUGCCAUCAUUAAGUUGGGCACUCUGAAAGAACUGCCAGUGAUAAGCUGGAGGAAGGUGGGGAUGACGUCAAGUCCUCAUGGCCCUUACGUGUUGGGCUACACACGUGCUACAAUGGUAUCUACAACAGGAAGCAAGACUGCGAAGUUAAGCAAAUCCCUAAAAGAUACCUCAGUUCGGAUUGCACUCUGCAACUCGAGUGCAUGAAGCUGGAAUUACUAG